rnacentral:rRNA from 1 species
GACGAACGCUGGCGGCGUGCUUAACACAUGCAAGUCGAACGGUAAGGCCUUUCGGGGUACACGAGUGGCGAACGGGUGAGUAACACGUGGGUGAUCUGCCCUGCACUUUGGGAUAAGCCUGGGAAACUGGGUCUAAUACCGAAUAGGACCAUGGACUUCACGGUUUGUGGUGGAAAGCUUUUGCGGUGUGGGAUGGGCCCGCGGCCUAUCAGCUUGUUGGUGGGGUAAUGGCCUACCAAGGCGACGACGGGUAGCCGGCCUGAGAGGGUGACCGGCCACACUGGGACUGAGAUACGGCCCAGACUCCUACGGGAGGCAGCAGUGGGGAAUAUUGCACAAUGGGCGCAAGCCUGAUGCAGCGACGCCGCGUGAGGGAUGACGGCCUUCGGGUUGUAAACCUCUUUCAGCACAGACGAAGCGCAAGUGACGGUAUGUGCAGAAGAAGGACCGGCCAACUACGUGCCAGCAGCCGCGGUAA